ensembl:lncRNA
AGCACGAGGACUAAAAGCAACCUCUUAUUGGCUGCAUUGGUAGGAACAACUUUUUAGAAGUUUAGGUUUUAUUUAACAUAUUCCUUAAUAUUUUCCUAUUAUUCGGGUAAGGAGGUAUUUUAGCUCCGAAGGAACUCAAGCUUUACAGAAAAGUGAAACAGCUGCUGGACCGUUUCUAAUUGAGGUGAGCCGGGCUACUGACAGGUUGCAGAGUACAUCGUGUUAUUGGGAGUCUGUGUUGCCAGCAAACCCAGAGAGAGUCUGCGUGCUGAGAGACGACCAGGGGGAAAUUAGCCUCUUGCCUUCUGGAUAGUUUCACUGGAGGCAGCCAGAUCGGCAUGAAAUUAGCUCAGUUUGAAUCUUUAUAUGGUCCAAUCAGAUGAGCUGAGAUUUAAUCUUUGCUGGCCUGCCCUACCAGAGUCCGACCCCUCAGAUGAAAUGGACUACAUAUUCAUAGGUUCACUUGCAUGGUUGAUUAUAGCAGCAUAGAUGGAAGGU